UGAUCUUUGCCACUUCACUGUUCUUUCCCAACGCCAAUCCUCAGAGGUCAAGUCGUUUUCAGAUAAAGAUUUGAUGCACUUUGGCAAGCCUGGAGAAUUAGAUGGCGUGUUCGUCCCGCACAGGUCAGCUGGGCAUUUGCUAAAGGAAAUCCAAGGAGGUGGUGUUUUCAAUGGAUCAAGGCAAUUAUCUGGUAUGUCCUUUGAUUGGCACUAGAGGAUGCAUUUGACAUUUCUUGGACUGGGCUUAACCUAAAGGUAGAGAAUUGGAAGCCAUUGUGAUAUAAAGGAUGCAAAGGGAGGGCGAGCAAGAUGCUGCCACUCUCUUUAUGCAGCGCUCUUUUGCUAAAGGGAAAGGGAGGGUGGGUUCUUUUGGAUUCCAAAGCGUGAGGUUUUAUGCCAGUCAUUGCCACUCCCCCUUAGCCGUUGCGCCUUUUGGAACCUCAAGUGCAAGAUAGCAAGUGGAGAUACACAGGAAAAGCUCCAAAGCGCCCCGCCAUGUCACUAGAUAGUUUCUUUGCUGCCAUUCUGAUCUGCAAAUAUCUAACGUGAUGUGUAGUGGGGAAGUCAAUUUAGUGACGUGCUUCAAUUAUUUCAGCUAUGAGGAUUUGUUGCUUGAGCAGUUAUUUGUUAUCGCUUCUGGUUCGUUUCAUUUCUGUUGUAAACCAAGUUAUAUGUUACUUAUUAACCAUGUUACACCGUUAAACGUGUCUCCAUGGUUAGUUUUUUCAUAUCUGUUUUUUUCUGCACUAAGUUCGUAAGAAAGAUAUCCACCCCUGCUCUUGUUCUGUGCGAGUUGUUAUGGAGUAGUAUUUUGGAGAACUGGAGAAGCAUACUUGGUUAUAAGUAAUUAUGUAUUGCUGUUGCCUGAUCAAUACAGCAAGAUAGAUGUUGUGUUGAUAUAUUGAGUUUUCCAGUUUUGUGAUAAAAUUAAUUUUAUAAUAAACUCUGUAGUCUAGACUAAGUAAUUUUAUUUCUAAUUUCUAUCAAUGGAGUUAUUUGUGAUUUCCCCCCUUUAAUCUUAGAAGUGUUAAUUUAUUGUAGAUUAACUCAUACUGCACUUGAAAUUGCUUCAUAUUUAUUCCUUUGGAUGAUUGGCAUUUUUAAAUGGUUAACAAAGUCUUUUCAGUUUGCACAGAAUUUUCAUCCUUGUACAACAGUACACAAAAUUAUUCCCUCAACUAUUGAAAGGCAUAGCACCCUAUUUUGAGAAUCAAUAUUCUUCCUACUGAUAUUCUAUUUAUACAGCUAAAAGCACAAUUUUUUUUCCCGUACCAAAGCCAUCUUUAUUCCAUUGCAUGAGUGUGCGUAUGUACAACAGUUACAUAGAGGUGGUGACCGAUGAGCUGCAAAGACUAAGCAACUGGAGAAUGGGCCCCACUAUCCAGGAAUUCUGGCAGAUGGUGAAUACUAAAGUAAAUUCAUCAGUCUGAUGGAUACCAGAGUCUAGCUCAACUACUUGUUUUCACGGGAAGCUGAUCUAACAAAGGAACAUGAGGUUUUCCAGUAAGACAAGCCAAAUAUAAGUACUUAAGUAGCAAUUUCUAAUCUAGCAUGCAUUCAAUACCUGUUCUUUUAGGGGAAAACAGUAGGGGCCUCCCCUACUGUGGUAAUUAUAUUAAUAUAAAGAGAAAGAGAACUGUACAGAGACCCUCUCAGAAAGGGAAAAAAAGGACAGGAAAAAAGAUCUAUACAGAAGAGGAGAGCCAAUCUAAGAAAAGAAGGUUCAGAGAUUCAUCCUAAUAGACUGAAGAAAAGCUUCUUUAACGAAGUCAUUUUUCCAUCCCUGAAAAGUUGGGUUAAUAUCAAGAUAAAAUCAUUCCUUUGUUUCCAGAUAAUCCAGAUUGCAAUGAUGAUGAAGAAGGGUCUUGUAAAGUUCCUCCUGGCUUGAUGCGUCAUAAGAAAGUCCCAGUGAAUAUCAAGAGCUUGCCAACAUCUGGAGGAAAAGGUACAACAAAAGAAAAGGUGAAGGACAGUUUCUUUCACCCUCAAGUUACAAAGAACACAGUUGUAAUCGUCUCCUUCAAUCCUCAAAUACUUCCGUUUCAAAAUAUUUCUUGUAUUUAAUCUGUCCAUGAGGAGUCAUGUAGUAACUUUUAACUUUUUACUGCAUUUUUAUUUCCAAAUCCAUGUAAAAGGAGUGGGAGCCAAAAUUUCUUUGAAAGGCAAAGAGUAGAACUUUCUGGCUGUGUAAA